rnacentral:sRNA from 1 species
GAAGCUAGCAAUAAUUGAGGGCCCGC